GUUUGGUGAGGCGGUGUUUGCGCCGAAGUGCAGGUACACCUUGCGCCGGCUUUCCCACUGUGGUGAGCAUAUCGGUGGAGUCCAUCACGGAGGAUGGCAACGGAGGUGGAUCACAAAGCAGCAGGCCAAGGCAGUUGCGCUUCACCGCUGGAGAUGGCUCUGUGU
rnacentral:SRP_RNA from 1 species